AUGAUGUUUGUUAAAGAGGAGAGUGAAGAGAACACGAGUGAACCAGAAACCUGGAGAAUAAAACAAGAGGAACCAGAAACCUGGAGAAUAAAACAUGAGGAACAAGGAGGCCUGAUGAAAAUGAAAGAAGAAAGACAAGAUCGGAAUGAGGUGGAGGAGAAAUAUCAGGAUCAGAAAGAUCAUGAGGUCAAUGAAGAAAAAUCAGCGAGUUGCAGCAUUCAACAAACAGAAGUCAAAAGGACAGUGAGGCAGCAAAUGACAGACUAAUCCACUUUCUGAAGCUUGGAUUACCCCAGGAAACCAUCAGUAACAUUUCAGGUGUCACUCAUACAACUAUCGUUCUUCGGAUGAGAGAAUGUGGCUGGCCAGUAUCAGAAUCCAAUAAGUAACCCUGAGGUAGUUAUUUCCUCUUACCAUGCAUUCUUGGUUUUGCUCUGUUAGUUUAACCCCCAUAUUUAAAAUGAUUUUUUUGUUUAUCUUUAGACGGAGUAUUCAGACUCAAUGACAGUUGAACAAGAUGGUGGAGAUGCUGACCAUGUUCAUGUAAUUUUGACAGCAAGGUUGUAAAUGUGUAUAUAUAGUUGUAUAUUAAGUAGAACUUGUGGGGGGGGGGGGAAACUUAAGACAUAUGCAAAAUAAAGACAGACUCUGAAAAAGAAUUUAAUUUAUUGAAAUGUACAUAGAACCAGUGUCCAGACUUAAACAAGUCCAAAUCCAGUGGAGGAUUUGUUUGCACAAGCUUGCAAUGUAUAUGCAAAGUUUUCCAUUUUGGUUAUUUGAGCUGGUAUCAUCAGGGUCCUGUUGCAGGUAGAAGCCUUGAAGUAUCUUCCAUUCCAAACUUUUACCUGGAGAUUCUUGGAUGGGACUUCCCAUCCAGUCCAAAAUUAUGUAAGCUUUUGUAGCUGGUUUGUGGAAGCUGUGUUUGGACAAAUAAUCAGAAGAUGCAUACAAACAACUCUUAACAUUUUAUGGAAGGUUGUAUGCAUUAAAACUGUCAAACUGGAAUUAGUAAAAGAGUCUUAGAAUGAAAAGUUUGAAAAAUACUUUUUACAGGAUUUAUAUUGUAAUUAAACCUUUUAUAAUACAUCUUAAAACACAAUGAUUAUUGCUAAUUUGAUUUGCAAAGUAUUCAUUAAAAAUUAUAAUCUUAAGAACAUCUAAGUGUACUCAACUGCGCUCUUUUGAGACACCAUGAAACUAAAUUGUGCUUUUAAUAUACUAUAUCUCUAUUUAAAACAAAAAUGUAUUUAG
rnacentral:lncRNA from 1 species